rnacentral:rRNA from 1 species
UACGAGUGCCCCAAGCGUUAUCCGGAAUCAUUGGGCGUAAAGGGUGUGUAGGCGGCAUGGUUAGUCUCUUGUCAAAGCUCCUGGCUUAACCGGGAAGAUGCAAGGGAAACGGCCAUUGCUAGAGGAUGUGAGAGGUGAAUGGAACUCAUGGUGUAGGGGUGAAAUGCGUAGAUAUCGAGAGGAACACCUGCGGCGAAGGCGGGUUGCUGGGCUGAUACUGACGCUGAGGCGCGAAAGCCAGGGGAGCGAACGGG